rnacentral:lncRNA from 1 species
CUGAUGAAGGUCAAAGGUGGAACCACUAUGUCAAUGUCUCUUGAGCUUAAUCAGCAUGAUCCUGAUUAAAUUACAGGGAAAUGUUACGUUAAAGCUUGUUGUUUCCAAUUCUGUGUUGCUCCAUAUCUUUAGCAGAAGCAAAAUUUCAGUGUUUGAGGGAAAUUGCCUCUAUUUUACAUUUCCAGUUGUAAUUCUAGUGAUAGGGGUGCAUUCUCCUUAGAUGACAAGAGGUCUGUGAAAGAGGGGAUGGAGGAAAACUCUUAUCUCUUCCCUUGUUUGCGUUCUGAGGCUUUAUUUGUCUAAGUGCUUGGCCGUGGUCUUUGCGAGUAUCCAGGUGGCUGUAGGAGGCUUAGAAGGAACUCAGGAAUCCCUUGACGAUGUUUGGAGAAAUGCAAUGCUUAAUAUUUGCAUCCAGGUGAUAGAGGAGGUUAUCUCGUUCUGACUUUACCAAUCCAAGAGAUCUCUACAAACAAAUAACUGAACAACAAUAACAAGCAAAAUAGCUAAGGAUUUUAUAAGAAAAAAGCACGGGCUUUUUAGACUGACCUUAGUUCAAAGAGCAAGCAAAGACCGUUCCUUUCUUUUUUUCUUUUACGCAUUCAAUCCAGCAUCAUGGAGGUGUCUGGGCCUGCCUCCUCGGCUCCUUUAUUCGCCCUCCUCAAGAAUUGAUCCUACCCAUUCCCUUUCCCUGUACCCGAGUAGCCGUAGGGCACGGCCGUUUUUUUCCAAGUACCGCGACGGAGCGCAUCGACGGCGAUCGAUCUCGGGAAGCAGGUACAGGCGGCACGGGAGGCUUCGUCCGCUCCGCCGAGUGGGAGGCGGAGGGAGUGAGGAAGGAGGGUGGUGGGGAUCGAACAUGGGCGAUGGGCGGACCUUUGGUACGGAUCCUACGGACGUCCGCAUAUAAGAAUAUUAUGCGGAUUUGCUUCUACACAAAUGUUUUAUGCAUCUCUCCGCAAGUGAUUUUUAUAUAGGCAGCGUGUCGGCAUGAAAAGCAUCAGUACACGUCCACAGGAGUCAGGUCCGCGAUGUCCGCAUACGUAUUUGUAUGCGCAAGAAAAUCCGCAUAUAUACAUUAUGCACUUGCCUGCAACGGGGAGCGAAUCCGCCUCCCCGUCACUCGAUCGAGAUAAGACGGGGUCGAUGUUUUCCAUCAAUUACAGCGGGACCAAGAGGUUCAAGAUGGGUGGAAACAGCGGCAGAGGACGCCAGCCAAAG